GACGAACGCUGGCGGCGUGCUUAACACAUGCAAGUCGAACGGAAAGGCCCUGCUUUUGUGGGGUGCUCGAGUGGCGAACGGGUGAGUAACACGUGAGUAACCUGCCCUUGACUUUGGGAUAACUUCAGGAAACUGGGGCUAAUACCGGAUAGGAGCUCCUGCUGCAUGGUGGGGGCUGGAAAGUUUCGGCGGUUGGGGAUGGACUCGCGGCUUAUCAGCUUGUUGGUGGGGUAGUGGCUUACCAAGGCUUUGACGGGUAGCCGGCCUGAGAGGGUGACCGGCCACAUUGGGACUGGGAUACGGCCCAGACUCCUACGGGAGGCAGCAGUGGGGAAUAUUGCACAAUGGGCGGAAGCCUGAUGCAGCAACGCCGCGUGCGGGAUGACGGCCUUCGGGUUGUAAACCGCUUUCGCCUGUGACGAAGCGUGAGUGACGGUAAUGGGUAAAGAAGCACCGGCUAACUACGU
rnacentral:rRNA from 1 species